GAUAUGAAUUUUGGGAACAACACUAAUGGGAAUAGAUCUAGGAAGAAAUGGGACUUUUCCAAUCAUUUAUAAAAUCAUAGAUUGUUGUUGACCCAAAUUGUUAUACAAACCUUGACAUUGAUGAUAACAGACUACAUGUUGAGGAUAAAAUGAGAAAUUUUCAAAUCUUACAAGCUCUUGAAAGGUAGAUUAUUCGUGCGAGAUCAUGUUCAAAGGUGAAAGGAAUCAAGGACAGAGGGGUGCAAAUCGGAUUUCAGUUCAUUGCUGGGGUUUUAGUUGGGGUUCCAAGUCGACAAGUUGGAGAAUUGUUGUUGACCCAAAUUGUUAUACAAACCUUGACAUUGAUGAUAACAGACUACAUGUUCAUUUAUAAAAUCAUAGAUUGUUGUUGACCCAAAUUGUUAAACAAACCUUGACAUUGAUGAUAACAGACUAUAUGUUGAGGAUAAAAUGAGAAAUUUUCAAAUCUUACAAGCUCUUGAAAGGUAGAUUAUUCGUGCGAGAUCAUGCUCAAAGGUGAAAGGAAUCAAGGACAGAGGGGUGCAAAUCGGAUUUCAGUUCAUUGCUGGGGUUUUAGUUGGGGUUC
rnacentral:lncRNA from 1 species